GCCCGGGUGGUGAAAUUGGUAGACGCAGGGGACUCAAAAUCCCCCGCCGCAAGGCGUGCCGGUUCGAUUCCGGCCCCGGCACCA
rnacentral:tRNA from 1 species